AAACGACAAGGGCAUACCCGACCGAAAGGCGGGGACGCAAAACCACCGGUCUACGGCAAACGCCACGACAGCGGAGUUACCGAA
rnacentral:ncRNA from 1 species